UAGAGUUUGAUCAUGGCUCAGGAUGAACGCUAGCGGCAGGCCUAAUACAUGCAAGUCGAGGGGUAAGAGUCAGCUUGCUGACUACACGACCGGCGCACGGGUGCGUAACGCGUAUGCAACCUACCUUUAACAGAGGAAUAGCCCCGAGAAAUCGGGAUUAAUACCACAUAACAUUAUGAUAUGGCAUCAUAUUAUAAUUAAAACUCCGGUGGUUAAAGAUGGGCAUGCGUGACAUUAGCUAGUUGGUGAGGUAACUGCUCACCAAGGCUACGAUGUCUAGGGGUUCUGAGAGGAUGAUCCCCCACACUGGUACUGAGACACGGACCAGACUCCUACGGGAGGCAGCAGUAAGGAAUAUUGCGCAAUGGAGGCAACUCUGACGCAGCCAUGCCGCGUGCAGGAUUGAAGGCCUUAUGGGUCGUAAACUGCUUUUAUUUAGGAAUAAACUUUCGUACGUGUACGAAACUGAAG
rnacentral:rRNA from 1 species